AGUGAACGCUGGCGGUAGGCCUAACACAUGCAAGUCGAACGGCAGCACAGUAAGAGCUUGCUCUUACGGGUGGCGAGUGGCGGACGGGUGAGGAAUACAUCGGAAUCUACUUUUUCGUGGGGGAUAACGUAGGGAAACUUACGCUAAUACCGCAUACGACCUACGGGUGAAAGCAGGGGAUCUUCGGACCUUGCGCGAUUGAAUGAGCCGAUGUCGGAUUAGCUAGUUGGCGGGGUAAAGGCCCACCAAGGCGACGAUCCGUAGCUGGUCUGAGAGGAUGAUCAGCCACACUGGAACUGAGACACGGUCCAGACUCAUACGGGAGGCAGCAGUGGGGAAUAUUGGACAAUGGGCGCAAGCCUGAUCCAGCCAUACCGCGUGGGUGAAGAAGGGCUUCGGGUUGUAAAGCCCUUUUGUUGGGAAAGAAAAGCAGCAGGUUAAUACCCCGCUGUUCUGACGGUACCCAAAGAAUAAGCACCGGCUAACUUCGUG
rnacentral:rRNA from 1 species